UACAGAGGUCUCAAGCGUUGUUCGGAUUCAUUGGGCGUAAAGGGUGCGCAGGCGGCGGGGCAAGUCGGACGUGAAAUCUCGGGGCUUAACCCCGAAACUGCGUUCGAUACUGCCCUGCUAGAGGACUGGAGAGGAGACUGGAAUUCCUGGUGUAGCAGUGAAAUGCGUAGAUAUCAGGAGGAACGCCAAUGGCGAAGGCAGUGUCCUGGGGAGUACCUGACGCUCAGGUGCGAAAGCCAGGGGAGCGAACAGG
rnacentral:rRNA from 1 species